CUUUUAGCAGCUUGACAGCCCUCGAUCACUCUUUGUUGCGUGGAAAAGAGCAGCAUGAACAUCCUUCAGAAAUGCGUUGGACCAGCAUGAGGUGCAAUUAAGGAAAGCCGUUAAAGCUCAGAUCUGCUGCGUGGUUUGUGGCUUUUCACUCUGGAGGUGUUUGGCGAGGUCCGUUCCAGACUGGAGUCUGUUUGAGUUUCCACACAGUUCAGAGACGCCAACGGACGACGCUCCCUGUGUACAUGUGUUGCUUGGAAACCAGCGCACUGGGACCGUGUAGUGCAACACACAGAGGCACUGGAUGCAGUACGUACAG